rnacentral:rRNA from 1 species
GAUGAACGCUGGCGGCGUGCCUAAUACAUGCAAGUCGAGCGAAUGGAUUAAGAGCUUGCUCUUAUGAAGUUAGCGGCGGACGGGUGAGUAACACGUGGGUAACCUGCCCAUAAGACUGGGAUAACUCCGGGAAACCGGGGCUAAUACCGGAUAACAUUUUGAACCGCAUGGUUCGAAAUUGAAAGGCGGCUUCGGCUGUCGCUUAUGGAUGGACCCGCGUCGCAUUAGCUAGUUGGUGAGGUAACGGCUCACCAAGGCAACGAUGCGUAGCCGACCUCGGAGUGUAAUCGGCCACACUGGUACUGAGACACGGCCCAGACUCCUACGGGAGGCAGCAGUAGGGAAUCUUCCGCAAUGGACGAAAGUCUGACGUAGCAACGCCGCGUGAGUGAUGAAGGCUUGCGGGUCGUAAAACUCUGUUGUUAGGGAAGAACAAGUGCUAGUUGAAUAAGCUGGCACCUUGACGGUACCUAACCAGAAAGCCACGGCUAACUACGUGCCAGCCGCCGCUGUAA